rnacentral:lncRNA from 1 species
GCUGUUUCUCUAGGAACCCUUCUUGUAUUUUAUCUGAAUUUUUUGUCAGCAUUUACAAAGUCUUGAUGUUUAGGGAAAAUUGGGAAGUUUUAAACAUUCUACUUUUACGCAUUUACUUUUAUAACUAAGGAUGCAAAAACUGUCGUAAGUUCAUGGGGAAAGCUUUGGGGAUUACAUUUGUUCGGAAGUGUGACCAGUCUGUUUUUUCUGACGUCACUGUGCUCCCCUCUGGAGGAGCUUAUCCUCAGUAUAGGAGUGACUGCCCCUAUAAGAAAGGAGCAGGCUUAUCCUCAGUACAGGAGUGACUGCCCCUGUAAGAAAGGAGCAGGCUCAUCCUCAGUACAGGAGUGACUGCCCCUGUAAGAAAGGAGCGUCUUCUUCCCAGCGCUGUGGGGUGAGGCGCCUUCAUGGUCCGUUUAUGAGCUGAGGAGCGGAUGUCGUAGUUGUUUCCAGGACUUGGAGACGGGAGCCACUGUUUUUGAAACCGUUUCUGUGCUGAAAAUCCGGGUGGCCUCAUUACACUUGCACUGAAGGGACAGUGUGACAGCCGUCUGGAGUAAGGUUAUUCUUCGAUAGCGAAACCAGGGGCGGGGUAGAGGCGGGAUGCAAAGUCAGGGUGGAUGCGACCCUGGACAGGCGGUGACCUGGGGGGUGAGGUGUUAACUGGUACAGGGGACUGAGGAACGUCAGCACUGAACAAAAACCCUGCCGCGUUGUGCUGUUUCUCUGUGGGGGUUACUGGGAUGGGGCUGCUCAUUUUCAGCUAUGCCUCUCUCCUCUUGAGCUCCUGCUCCCAGAGGCUGCUAGACUCAUUUGUUAAAAUUAGUAGAAUCCAUCACAGGCAAUUUGAGAUGAAUAUCUGACAUAGUUGCAGCUGGGCGUAUCUUAGUACGUACCAUAACCCUUCUCUUUGAUAUGGGAUUCCCUGCAAUUCCAGGGGACUCCAUUCCAGGACUAAUUGAAAGAACACAUUUUGAUGUGGAGGGACCUAGUUCCCAGACAUUUAUACUUCAGAUUCAGGAUAACUGGGAUGAUGAUGAUGAUGAGAAAAAAGAAGCAGCAGAAGUAAAACCAGGUGAUCCAUUGGGUUUCCUCAGUUUUGGGGUUUAG